AAUUAAAGAAGGCGAAGAAUGAGGCAACAAUAAGAAACAACAAAAAAUAUUACGAAAGGCGCAAGCCACGGCCCAGCGAGCAGCGGCGCUGGGCACAUGGGCGGCGAGCGAGAAGCCGGCGGCCAGCAGUUGUUGCGAGGAGAGCAUCUGAGGAGAGUUGCCGUCGGCGCGGGCGGACUCGUGAAAGCGCAAGGCGCGUCAGCCGCAGGUGUGCGCGCCUCCACCGACAAGCAGACCCCGGCCCUUGAGCCGACGCGCGCGCGCGCUCGCGCCCACGACGCUGUGCUGCCGCCGUCGUUGCUGCUGCCUACCGAGGCGCGUCCCCCCAUGCGCGCAGUUAGGCCUAGCUAGAAGAACGCCGCCGCACGAGACGAUCACCACGACGACACACGCACGGGGCCGGAUUACGAGAGGCGAGCAAAGCGGCGCACCACGUCGUCCCCCAUGUCCGUGGCCAACACCGAGAGCUCGAUGACUCUGAGCCAGAGCAUGGAUUCCGUCAACACGGUCGCCGAAGAAGAGGUGAGUGUCCCACGCUGUUGUUCUUGCUCACUGGAACCGUGCGGCCUUCAUUCGGUGCGAACCCUCUUCGUGAGUGGCCUUCCCAUGGACGCAAAGCCCAGGGAACUCUACCUACUAUUCCGUGCCUAUAAGGGAUACGAAGGAUCUCUUCUGAAAGUAACACAAAAGAAUGGAAAGACAUCUUCGCCAGUAGGUUUCGUAACGUUUUCCUCAAGAGCUGGAGCAGAAGCUGCCAAGCAGGAGCUUCAGCAGGGCGUGCGGUUCGACCCCGACCUUCCCCAGACCAUCCGGCUCGAGUUCGCCAAGAGCAACACAAAGGUUAGCAAACCGAAACAGCAGUCUCCUCCCGCCGCGGCCACGCACCCGACACUCCUGCACCCUAUCACGGGACAAGAAAUCAGCGCUGCCCUGCUGCCGGGGACCCACGACGGCUGGCCACACCACCCUCUCUCCUACGCUGAAGUGCCCGUCACCACUACCCUGCACACUGCGGCUCUCAUGCACCCGGCCCUCCAUGCGCAGCUGCCCGACAACCACUUAGUCACACCUGCCACAGUGGCUCACUGGAUAUGGCAUACUGCGGCGCACCCUGAACACCUCCAGGGGCCUCCGUUGACGGUGCCGCACCCCCUGUCACACGCGGCGCUGGCUGGUAGCGCGGCUGCGAUUCACGCAACCAUGCCGCCCCCGCACUUGGUCGCCAGCCCGGCGCUCGCGUCACCUGUCGGCUCCACCUCGUCUUCGGCUGCUGCAGCAGCGGGAACGCCACCCUGCUCCACGCUGUUUGUGGCAAACUUGGGACAGUUCGUCUCCGAACAGGAGCUCAAGGACCUCUUCGGAAGGACGUCCGCCUUGCAACACAUGCUAUGAAUGCCUUGCAGGGCUGUGUACUGUUCUCCUCAGAUCGAGGUGGAGUCCGCAUUGAAUUCGCCAAAAACAAGAUGGGAGAGGUAUCCCGUGAAUGAUGAACUGGAACAGUCGAGAAAACGCUUCAAGUUUCCUUAGGUGAAUCUCGGUGUGUGCUCGAGAGGUGUACACAGCCUGCUGCAAUGCAAGCAACCAAAGGCUCGGACGAUAUUUUCAGUACACUGCAUUAAUUGCGUUUUCCGCGGGAGACGCCAACUAGUUUGUGAUGAAAAAAAAAAGUUAUUUAGGCAAGCGAUGGGUGUUUAGUGAAUGACAUUGUUUUUUUUCUGAUUUUCUUUGUAUAACGCGACUGUCUGGUUAUGUUGCUACCCUUAUUGUGCUUCGGCGUAUCGGCACAGCGUUGCUUCUAUCCGUGUGAGAUGACGAUACUGUAUCGGCGUGAUAGAUGAGUCUAUUAUAGAUUAGAUAAGUCUUUUGCGCGGACCGCUGGGUUGGCUGGCAUCAGAAUGCCCGCUAUACGCUUUAAAAAUGUCGUUGUUCAGGAUGUACGUGUGCGCGCUUAGUGUUUCUUUAUCGCGUUCUUAUGUCUUAAAAAAGUCUGGAAGCUGUCCUUUCUGAUACAGCGCAUCCAGACGUUUUUGUGCUUACCUUCGCGGCGGUUGUGCCAUGAGUUGGAUCGCCCUUCGCGGAAAAAAAAAAAACUGCGGAGAACGGAUAUUUGUGAACUCUGCAGUAUACCCCAAAGUACAGCCAGCUAACACAGCUAUCGCGAGUACAUGUUGACACCAAAGAGACAGCUGUCUGAACCGAAAUAAACAGAAAACAAGGAAAUUGGGUUCACAAUGUUGUACUAGUCACAGUGUACAAAGAAAAACUGUAAUCACUAUAUUUAUAGAAAGGCGAUUUUUAUCGUGUGUGUCAUUAAGAUAUAUCCUAAAUUUACAGCUUAAUUUAUUUAAAUAAUAGUGUGAAGUUUUAUUGUGCGAGCACCCGAAAGAGGAUGCUGACUCUGUUUAAAGAUAGUACUGUGGACAGGGAAAACUUAACAUUAUAGAUUUCAAUACCAUACUUUGCUUCAAAGAUGUAUUUUUGUGAGGCAGAAACAUUCCCAGUGACCUCUGAAUCCAACUGGCCUUGUGUAUUUUUUUGAACUCAUUACUAACGCCCUUUCUCUAUCAAUAAUCAUUUGCUUUUCAUUAUUUUUGGGUCGUGCCGAUAUGUUUUGUUUUGUUAUGUAAUUUACAAGCGCUACUUUUUUUUUCAUUCAUAACCACUGAAUAUGUUACCGCUUGUUUGGACCAUUUUUUGCAUGAUUAUUCUGUAUUGUAUUUUUUGUUACUAAAGCUAUUUAAUUACAAAACCUUGA
rnacentral:misc_RNA from 1 species